rnacentral:misc_RNA from 1 species
GAACAAUUCUGGCUUUCUUGACUUCUCAGAUUGAAGUUGAGUGGGCUUGUGUGAAGUUUCAAACAUUGUCAGCUAUUUCUUUACCUUUACAUGGCAAACUAUCCCAUGAAGAGCAGCAUAGAGUUUUUCUCAGCUAUCCGGGAAAGAGAAAGGUAAUAUUCACCACAAAUGUUGCUGAGACAUCAUUGACAAUUCCAGGGGUUAAAUAUGUUGUUGAUUCUGGCAUGGUCAAAGAAAGCAGGUUUGAGCCUGGCACUUGCAUGAGUAUUCUCAGGAUAUGCAAUGUCAGCCAGAGCUCAGCUAAGCAGCGGGCUGGUCGUGCUGGGAGAACUGGACCAGGAAGAUGUUAUCGACUGUACUCGGAAAGUGAUUUUGAAGGUAUGUCUCAUCAUCAGGAACCUGAAAUUCGCAAGGUUCAUCUUGGUGUUGCAGUGCUGAGGAUUCUUGCUUUAGGUAUCAAGAAUGUGCAGGAUUUUGACUUUAUUGAUGCACCGAGCCCCAAAG